rnacentral:lncRNA from 1 species
AGUGACUUCCAGCCCGUGCUCGCUCCUUGGCUGCGUGUUUGCUCCUCGGGGAGCACCAGCCCUGUGUGAGAAGAUUGGAUCCUGCUACUCCAGAGGCUAAUUCAAAAUGUAGUGUGAGAACUUUCCUACCCCAAGGACAUUUCCACUCUAAGGGGAACGUAAAAAAUCCAAGAAAAAAGCAACAUCUUGCAGCUCUCUCAUGUCUUCGAGUGCAUGUGGAUGAAGGCUUUGACCUGAGGGAUGAUGGCAGCCAGCACCAGCUCACUUUUUGGACUAAAUCAGGAGGGAGAUUUCUACAGCUUGAGGAGCAGUGUGGAAGGCAGCCCAGCAGGCUGCAGGGGAUGGGGAUGCCCUAAGAGUGAGGCUGGGCAGGUCCUGGUGACAGGGACUGAGAGCUGCAAAGAGGAGUAAAAAUCAGUGUAUAAUGGGAACGGGCAGCCAUGGAGCACAUCAGGGGAGGAUGGAUGAGAGCAGAAUAGCAGCCACUGUGAGAAGCACAAUGAAAGUUGGGAGCAGAGGAAGUUGGAGCAGAGAGGAGAAGGCAGCAAGGACAAAAUUUCAUCCUCUUCAAUGAUGACAGAGUUUUGGGGAAUUGAACUAAAAGCUUCCCUUCUGAGGGAAGUCUCAGAUCUGAAGAGCUCCACAGAGCAGUAAUGAUGUACACUGAGUUUCAGAGUCAGCUUCCAGUCUGAAUGUACAGGGGAAAUGGCCAUACUUUCUUACUGAU